rnacentral:rRNA from 1 species
UGAGGAAUAUUGCACAAUGGGCGCAAGCCUGAUGCAGCAACGCCGCGUGCGGGACGAAGGCCUUCGGGUCGUAAACCGCUUUUCUGGGGAAAGAGCAAGGACGGUGCCUCAGGAAUAAGUCUCGGCUAACUACGUGCCAGCAGCCGCGGUAAAACGUAGGAGGCGAGCGUUAUCCGGAUUUACUGGGCGUAAAGCGCACGCAGGCGGCUCUGUGAGUCGGACGUGAAAGCUCCCGGCUUAACCGGGAGAGGCCGUUCGAUACUGCGGGGCUUGAGGUAGGGAGAGGAAUGCGGAAUUCCCGGUGUAGUGGUGGAAUGCGUAGAUAUCGGGAGGAACACCUGUGGCGAAAGCGGCAUACUGGCCCUCACCUGACGCUGAGGGGCGAAAGCGUGGGUAGCAAACAG